AAUGCUACUGGUUUUGUAACUUUGUAUACAAUGGCAUUAGGAGUGAGAUAUAGUUUUCUGGACCGAAUAUCUUUCCGCAAGAUAUAUCUCCGUACAGGAAGAUACAGAAGCAUGAAUAAUCCAAUCCCCCAAGCCAAUAUUAGCAGCAAUGAGUACAUAACCCAUUGAACAGUUUGGUACUUGAUAAAUUUCUCUUCCAUCUCUUCAAAUGAUGCCGUAUAAAGUACUGUGUCAUCAUUAGAUUCAGUAUCUUCACCAGAAGCACCGCCCCGCGAUUCCAACAAUAAACCCUUUUCCAAGCUAUCAAUUUCCACAACUUUAUC
rnacentral:misc_RNA from 1 species